UACGUAGGUGGCGAGCGUUGUCUGGAUUUACUGGGCGUAAAGGGAGCGUAGGCGGACUUUUAAGUGAGAUGUGAAAUACCCGGGCUCAACUUGGGUGCUGCAUUUCAAACUGGAAGUCUAGAGUGCAGGAGAGGAGAAUGGAAUUCCUAGUGUAGCGGUGAAAUGCGUAGAUAUGCGGAGGAACACCGAUGGCGAAGGCAGCUAUCUGGACAGUAACUGACGCUGAGGCGCGAAAGCGUGGGGAGCAAACAGGAUUA
rnacentral:rRNA from 1 species